rnacentral:rRNA from 1 species
AUACAGAGGGUGCAAGCGUUAAUCGGAUUUACUGGGCGUAAAGCGCGCGUAGGUGGCUAAUUAAGUCAAAUGUGAAAUCCCCGAGCUUAACUUGGGAAUUGCAUUCGAUACUGGUUAGCUAGAGUAUGGGAGAGGAUGGUAGAAUUCCAGGUGUAGCGGUGAAAUGCGUAGAGAUGUGGAGGAAUACCGAUGGCGAGGGCAGCCUCCUGUCCUAACACUGAAUCUGAGGCGCACAAGCCUGGGGCGCAAACUGGAUUAGAUACCCUCGUAGUCGAUGCCGGAAAAGAUGUCUACUAGCCGUUGUAGACAGUGAGGCUUAAGUGGCGUAGCUCACGCGAUAAGUAGAACGCCUUGGGAGUACGGUCGCAAGACUAAAACUCACAUGAACUGAUGGGG